UCUUUUAGCAUUCAAUUAAGGGAGUCAACUACAGAAACACAAUUAAUGCCAACAAUUCUGGGGUAGAUAAUUCUGGCUAGAAUAGAAACAGAACUCAUUUAAGAUCAAUCAGUUAAGUCAGAUGAUUCCAGAUCAGUUGGGUCUAACGAAAUACAAGUUAGUGAGAGAACAGACACGCAGUUUAAGAGCAAUCUGCAUAUAGCUUUAAGUAUUCCUGAAAGACUGUGGGAUUAACAUUAAUUCUUGGAAAAACAAUGGAACAAAAGAUCUUACAAAUCAUCUGUAAGGGAAAACAUACCGUGCUGGAGCUCUUCUACCAACUGCUGCACUCCAAGUGGGAUAUCCCUAGGCACCAAAUCAUGCCACGUACUGAUGAAUAUCCACAGUAACAUUAAGAAAUAAAGGGAAAGCAGCACACCAGACAGAGAGAUUCCCAACUGUAAAGUAAAAGGCCCUAGAAAUAUCAGCUUUAAGAGAGACUGGAAGAAGGAAGAGAUCCUAAGGGUUAACCUUACACUCCUGAACUUGCUAUUAGAAGUAUUGUUUGUUUUAACAGAGCAUCAGGGAUUUCUGAGUAUUUCUGGACCUUCCUCACUUGUACCAGCACUUCAAGGAAGAAAAAUAGUAUGCAAGUGUAAGAGGAACAGAAUUUGUCUUCCUGAAUGUUAGCUCUGUAACUGUUUUCAUUGCAAGUUACUCUUCACAAGUCUCAAACCAUCAGUAGAAGAAAAGCUAUUUGGUGAUCUUAGAGCUGUAGCACUAAACAUGUUUAAUUAGAAUGCAUUACAGCAACUCAGGAUUGAGACAUAACACUACAUGAUUAAUUCACCUACUGAAAUGGCUACAACAAAACAGAGGGAGCUAGCAAGGCCACCCUGUAAGAGCUGUGUCAGCCCACUUCCCUCCACAUUGUCUAAAGAGGUAUUCUCCUUCACUAUAUGCUUGAAUCACUCACAAGUCUUGACUAUCACUGUGACAGCUGUGGAUGGUGUACAUACCAGAUCAACAGACAUCAAUCUUAAUUCAUCAUAUUCUCUAUUAGCAAUUAUCCUUUUCAUUUCAAAAUCAAGACCAGUUUUAUUUACAUAUUUAUCUUUCAAAAUUCUGUCAACAUUCUGAGUACUACUAAUCAUUCACCAUCAACUACUAUCCGGUUAUGUAGAAACCAGAAUAUUCACGGAAUCCAUAUUUUCCAGCUAAGCUUACAAUAUUGUCCAGUCAAACUCACUCAAAAAAUAUCUACAUUAAUCCUUCGAAAUUCAUCAUCUGGUUCCCCCAGUUCAGUCACAAUUAUAACAAUGAAAAUAACAAUAACAACAAAGAAAAAAAAAGUAGAGUUGAAAAUAUAUUUCCUUGGUUUUUACUCUUCUGAAUAUAAGGAAGAGAGAUUUGACAACAGAAAGAUACCUUAAGCAUGUUCGGAAGGAAGACUGAAGAUUAACCCAUAGCUGCCUAAAGCUUAUUGGAGUUAUCCUGAAAGCUCUCUGUAGUUUUAAGAUGCCUAAAAUGCCUCUAACUAGAGGAACCAUGAAACACUAGACUCCGGGAUGUACCACCCAUAUGCUCCUCAGUUGCUACAGCCAGCAAACUGUGUACUGAAUGCAUGAGUCUCAGCCCAGUCAGGCAAUCAAAUUUGACAAUUUCAAUUAUAAAACCUCCUACAUAUCUUAAGACCAAUACCUUGUUCCAAAAAGUGUGCACUUCCUGCAGAAGCAAAGCAGCUAUGCUACACAUUUGCUUUUGGUAUUACAUGUUAUGGUAAGAGGGGAAUUUAGACUUGAAAUUCAUAGAGAACUGAGUUUCGCAGUGGUGUGAACAACAGAAUUUUCAUAAUAGCCUUCCAAUGGUUUCCAGUACUUAACUUGCCUGCAACAUGUGGUAGAGGCCUCUUUGCUGGCUAUUAAACUUGUUAUGCGUGCAGUAUAGGCAUUGUUGGAAUGUAAAUAGCUCUCACAUGGUAAUGUUAUUUCCGAUACAGUCCUGUCUAUACUGCUUAUUAUUAUUGAAAAGAACUACUAAACCCUACUUAGGUUCCUCAGCAUCUGCCAAAAAGCUGCAAGCCACACCAGCUCCAACCCAACUCUUCCAUUUGUAACACAUCUAAUGAGCAGAUGGUUAAUUUUUUUAAUUUUUUUUUUUUUGGCUGUGUGUGUGUGUGUGAAAAAAAGCAAGUUUUUUUUAGGGGAAGUGACUGCGAGGGUGCCUUGUUUUUUAAAAGUCAAUUGUUUUGCAUAU